rfam:Bacillus subtilis subsp. subtilis str. 168 complete genome.
GGUAUGUAUUUCAACCCCACGAUAAGCCCCGGAACUUAUUGUGUUGUGAAAUAGAAC